GACGAACGCUGGCGGCGUGCUUAACACAUGCAAGUCGAACGGAAAGGCCCUGCUUUUGUGGGGUGCUCGAGUGGCGAACGGGUGAGUAACACGUGAGUAACCUGCCCUUGACUUUGGGAUAACUUCAGGAAACUGGGGCUAAUACCGGAUAGGAGCUCCUGCUGCAUGGUGGGGGUUGGAAAGUUUCGGCGGUUGGGGAUGGACUCGCGGCUUAUCAGCUUGUUGGUAGGGUAGUGGCUUACCAAGGCUUUGACGGGUAGCCGGCCUGAGAGGGUGACCGGCCACAUUGGGACUGAGAUACGGCCCAGACUCCUACGGGAGGCAGCAGUGGGGAAUAUUGCACAAUGGGCGGAAGCCUGAUGCAGCAACGCCGCGUGCGGGAUGACGGCCUUCGGGUUGUAAACCGCUUUCGCCUGUGACGAAGCGUGAGUGACGGUAAUGGGUAAAGAAGCACCGGCUAACUACGUGCCAGCAGCCGCGGUGAUACGUAGGGUGCGAGCGUUGUCCGGAUUUAUUGGGCGUAAAGGGCUCGUAGGUGGUUGAUCGCGUCGGAAGUGUAAUCUUGGGGCUUAACCCUGAGCGUGCUUUCGAUACGGGUUGACUUGAGGAAGGUAGGGGAGAAUGGAAUUCCUGGUGGAGCGGUGGAAUGCGCAGAUAUCAGGAGGAACACCAGUGGCGAAGGCGGUUCUCUGGGCCUUUCCUGACGCUGAGGAGCGAAAGCGUGGGGAGCGAACAGGCUUAGAUACCCUGGUAGUCCACGCUGUAAACGGUGGGUACUAGGUGUGGGGUCCAUUCCACGGGUUCCGUGCCGUAGCUAACGCUUUAAGUACCCCGCCUGGGGAGUACGGCCGCAAGGCUAAAACUCAAAGGAAUUGACGGGGCCCCGCACAAGCGGCGGAGCAUGCGGAUUAAUUCGAUGCAACGCGUAGAACCUUACCUGGGUUUGACAUGGAUCGGGAGCGCUCAGAGAUGGGUGUGCCUCUUUUGGGGUCGGUUCACAGGUGGUGCAUGGCUGUCGUCAGCUCGUGUCGUGAGAUGUUGGGUUAAGUCCCGCAACGAGCGCAACCCUUGUUCACUGUUGCCAGCACGUUAUGGUGGGGACUCAGUGGAGACCGCCGGGGUCAACUCGGAGGAAGGUGGGGAUGACGUCAAGUCAUCAUGCCCCUUAUGUCCAGGGCUUCACGCAUGCUACAAUGGCUGGUACAGAGAGUGGCGAGCCUGUGAGGGUGAGCGAAUCUCGGAAAGCCGGUCUCAGUUCGGAUUGGGGUCUGCAACUCGACCUCAUGAAGUCGGAGUCGCUAGUAAUCGCAGAUCAGCAACGCUGCGGUGAAUACGUUCCCGGG
rnacentral:rRNA from 1 species